AACGAACGCUGGCGGCAUGCCUAACACAUGCAAGUCGAACGAAGCCUUCGGGCUUAGUGGCGCACGGGUGCGUAACACGUGGGAAUCUGCCCUUCGGUUCGGAAUAACAGUUUAGAAAUGACUGCUAAUACCGGAUGAUGACGUAAGUCCAAAGAUUUAUCGCCGAAGGAUGAGCCCGCGUAGGAUUAGGUAGUUGGUAGGGUAAUGGCCUACCAAGCCGACGAUCCUUAGCUGGUCUGAGAGGAUGAUCAGCCACACUGGGACUGAGACACGGCCCAGACUCCUACGGAGGCAGCAGUGGGGAAUAUUGGACAAUGGGCGAAAGCCUGAUCCAGCAAUGCCGCGUGAGUGAUGAAGGCCUUAGGGUUGUAAAGCUCUUUUACCAGGGAUGAUAAUGACAGUACCUGGAGAAUAAGCUCCGGCUAACUCCGUGCCAG
rnacentral:rRNA from 1 species